rnacentral:rRNA from 1 species
GGGUCAGUAGGUUGGUCGUGCCACCGGUACGUACUGGUCUCACUGAUUCCUCCUUCCUGAAGAACCGUAAUGCCAUUAAUUUGGUGUUGCGGGGAAACAGGACUGUUACUUUGAAAAAAUUAGAGUGUUUAAAGCAAGCUAACGCUUGAAUACAUUAGCAUGGAAUAAUGAAAUAGGACGAUCGAUCCUAUUUUGUUGGUUUCUAGGAUUGACGUAAUGAUUAAUAGGGAUAUUGGG